rnacentral:tmRNA from 1 species
CCCAGCGCGGCGCUUGAAUGUCGCGCGAUAUUUCGCCACAAUGUAAAGCAUGGUUGUAAUUCCGGCGAGCCGGAGACGUUCUGGACAGGGGUUCGAUUCCCCUCACCUCCACCAAAGCGCAUGGGGGCGUGUGUUUUGGUGGGGGUGUCCCGGUUUCGACAGGGCGAGCAAAAGCAAGCAGGCAACCCGAUAGGCGACGGACGUAAUCCGCGCAAAUCCAUAAACGCCAAUGAUGAGCGUUUCGCAGUCGCUGCAUAAGCUGAUUGCCGGGGCCGCUGAAGCCUUGUAACCCAAGACAGCCGGUGGAGACUUCGGUCUCCACCGUCA